UACGAAGGGAGCUAGCGUUGUUCGGAAUUACUGGGCGUAAAGCGCACGCAGGCGGCGCGGUAAGUCUGAUGUGAAAUCUCCCGGCUUAACUGGGAGGGGUCAUUGGAAACUGCCGAGCUUGAGGCGAUGAGAGGGGUGUAGAAUUCCCGGUGUAGUGGUGGAAUGCGUAGAUAUCGGGAGGAACACCCGUGGCGAAGGCGGCUCUCUGGACCACAACUGACACUGAGGCACGAAAGCCGGGGGAGCAAACAGG
rnacentral:rRNA from 1 species